AGUGAACGCUGGCGGUAGGCCUAACACAUGCAAGUCGAACGGCAGCACAGUAAGAGCUUGCUCUUACGGGUGGCGAGUGGCGGACGGGUGAGGAAUACAUCGGAAUCUACUUUUUCGUGGGGGAUAACGUAGGGAAACUUACGCUAAUACCGCAUACGACCUACGGGUGAAAGCAGGGGAUCUUCGGACCUUGCGCGAUUGAAUGAGCCGAUGUCGGAUUAGCUAGUUGGCGGGGUAAAGGCCCACCAAGGCGACGAUCCGUAGCUGGUCUGAGAGGAUGAUCCGCCACACUGGAACUGAGCCACGGUCCAGACUCCUACGGGAGGCAGCAGUGGGGAAUAUUGGACAAUGGGCGCAAGCCUGAUCCAGCCAUACCGCGUGGGUGAAGAAGGCCUUCGGGUUGUAAAGCCCUUUUGUUGGGAAAGAAAAGCAGCAGGUUAAUACCCCGCUGUUCUGACGGUACCCAAAGAAUAAGCACCGGCUAACUUCGUG
rnacentral:rRNA from 1 species